GGGAUAACACCUGGAAACAGGUGCUAAUACCGUAUAACACUAUUUUCCGCAUGGAAGAAAGUUGAAAGGCGCUUUUGCGCCACUGAUGGAUGGACCCGCGGUGCAUUAGCUAGUUGGUGAGGUAACGGCUCACCAAGGCCACGAUGCAUAGCCGACCUGAGAGGGUGAUCGGCCACACUGGGACUGAGACACGGCCCAGACUCCUACGGGAGGCAGCAGUAGGGAAUCUUCGGCAAUGGACGAAAGUCUGACCGAGCAACGCCGCGUGAGUGAAGAAGGUUUUCGGAUCGUAAAACUCUGUUGUUAGAGAAGAACAAGGAUGAGAGUAAAACGUUCAUCCCUUGACGGUAUCUAACCAGAAAGCCACGGCUAACUACGUGCCAGCAGCCGCGGUAAUACGUAGGUGGCAAGCGUUGUCCGGAUUUAUUGGGCGUAAAGCGAGCGCAGGCGGUUUCUUAAGUCUGAUGUGAAAGCCCCCGGCUCAACCGGGGAGGGUCAUUGGAAACUGGGAGACUUGAGUGCAGAAGAGGAGAGUGGAAUUCCAUGUGUAGCGGUGAAAUGCGUAGAUAUAUGGAGGAACACCAGUGGCGAAGGCGGCUCUCUGGUCUGUAACUGACGCUGAGGCUCGAAAGCGUGGGGAGCGAACAGGAUUAGAUACCCUGGUAGUCCACGCCGUAAACGAUGAGUACUAAGUGUUGGAGGGUUUCCGCCCUUCAGUGCUGCAGCA
rnacentral:rRNA from 1 species